UUAGACCCUCGGCGCAUCGCUCAGUAACACGCGGACAAUCUGCCCUAAGGUGGGGGAUAAUCUCGGGAAACUGAGGAUAAUCCCCCAUAGAUCACCUCUGCUGGAAUGCUUGGUGGUCGAAAGCUCCGGCGCCUUAGGAUGAGUCUGCGGCCUAUCAGGUAGUAGUGAGGGUAACGGCCUCACUAGCCUUCGACGGGUACGGGCGUUGAGAGACGUCGCCCGGAGAUGAUCUCUGAGACACGAGAUCAGGCCCUACGGGGCGCAGCAGGCGCGAAAACUUCACAAUGUGGGAAACCACGAUGAGGGGAACCCAAGUGUCUGCACUUUGUGUAGACUGUUUACUUGUCUAAAAAACAGGUAGAGUAAGGGCUGGGUAAGACGGGUGCCAGCCGCCGCGGUAAUACCUGCAGCCCAAGUGGUGCCCGCUAUUAUUGGGCCUAAAACGUUCGUAGCCGGAUCGUUAAAUGCCUGGGUAAAUCGUGCCGCUUAACGGUACGAAUUCCAGGUAGACUGGCGAUCUUGGGACCGGGAGAGGUCAGAGGUACUUCAGGGGUAGGGGUAAAAUCCUGUAAUCCUUGGAGGACCACCAGUGGCGAAGGCGUCUGACCAGAACGGAUCCGACGGUGAGGGACGAAGCCCUGGGGCGCAAACGGGAUUAGAUACCCCGGUAGUCCAGGGUGUAAACUCUGCGCGCUUGGUGUUGCCGAUCCUACGUGGGUCGGCAGUG
rnacentral:rRNA from 1 species